AUUGAACGCUGGCGGCAUGCCUUACACAUGCAAGUCGAACGGCAGCACGGGUGCUUGCACCUGGUGGCGAGUGGCGAACGGGUGAGUAAUACAUCGGAACAUGUCCUGUAGUGGGGGAUAGCCCGGCGAAAGCCGGAUUAAUACCGCAUACGAUCUACGGAUGAAAGCGGGGGACCUUCGGGCCUCGCGCUAUAGGGUUGGCCGAUGGCUGAUUAGCUAGUUGGUGGGGUAAAGGCCUACCAAGGCGACGAUCAGUAGCUGGUCUGAGAGGACGACCAGCCACACUGGGACUGAGACACGGCCCAGACUCCUACGGGAGGCAGCAGUGGGGAAUUUUGGACAAUGGGCGAAAGCCUGAUCCAGCAAUGCCGCGUGUGUGAAGAAGGCCUUCGGGUUGUAAAGCACUUUUGUCCGGAAAGAAAUCCUUGGCCCUAAUACGGUCGGGGGAUGACGGUACCGGAAGAAUAAGCACCGGCUAGCUACGUG
rnacentral:rRNA from 1 species